rnacentral:rRNA from 1 species
CUUGGGUAGGGCGGGACACGUGAAAUCCUGUCUGAACAUGGGGAGACCACUCUCCAAGCCUAAGUACUCGUGCAUGACCGAUAGCGAACAAGUACCGUGAGGGAAAGGUGAAAAGCACCCCGACAAGGGGAGUGAAAGAGAACCUGAAACCGUGUGCCUACAACAAGUUCGAGCCCGUUAAUGGGUGAGAGCGUGCCUUUUGUAGAAUGAACCGGCGAGUUACGUUAUGAUGCGAGGUUAAGUUGAAGAGACGGAGCCGUAGGGAAACCGAGUCUGAAUAGGGCGCCUUAGUAUCAUGUCGUAGACCCGAAACCAUGUGACCUACCCAUGAGCAGGUUGAAGGUGCGGUAAGACGCACUGGAGGACCGAACCAGGGCACGUUGAAAAGUGCUUGGAUGACUUGUGGGUAGCGGAGAAAUUCCAAACGAACUUGGAGAUAGCUGGUUCUCUCCGAAAUAGCUUUAGGGCUAGCGUCGACAUAAAGAUUCUUGGAGGUAGAGCACUGUUUGGGUGAGGGGUCCAUCCCGGAUUACCAAUCUCAGAUAAACUCCGAAUGCCAAUGAAUUAUGGUCGGCAGUCAGACUGCGAGUGCUAAGAUCCGUAGUCGAAAGGGAAACAGCCCAGACCACCAGCUAAGGUCCCAAAAUAAUUGUUAAGUGGAAAAGGAUGUGGGGUUGCACAGACAACUAGGAUGUUAGCUUAGAAGCAGCUAUUCAUUCAAAGAGUGCGUAAUAGCUCACUAGUCGAGUGACCCUGCGCCGAAAAUGUACCGGGGCUAAAACAAUUUACCGAAGCUGUGGAUGCACGUAUGUGCGUGGUAGCGGAGCGUUCUGUAAGCCUUUGAAGGUGUCCUCGUGAGGGGUGCUGGCGGUAUCAGAAGUGCGAAUGCUGACAUGAGUAACGAUAAAGCGGGGGAAAAGCCCGCUCGCCGGAAGACCACGGGUCCCUGUC